rnacentral:rRNA from 1 species
UACGUAGGUGGCAAGCGUUAUCCGGAAUUAUUGGGCGUAAAGAGCGCGCAGGUGGUUAAUUAAGUCUGAUGUGAAAGCCCACGGCUUAACCGUGGAGGGUCAUUGGAAACUGGUUGACUUGAGUGCAGAAGAGGGAAGUGGAAUUCCAUGUGUAGCGGCGAAAUGCGUAGAGAUAUGGAGGAACACCAGUGGCGAAGGCGGCUUCCUGGUCUGCAACUGACACUGAGGCGCGAAAGCGUGGGGAGCAAACAGG